rnacentral:rRNA from 1 species
CCUACGGGGGGCAGCAGUGGGGAAUAUUGCACAAUGGGGGAAACCCUGAUGCAGCAACGCCGCGUGAGUGAAGAAGUCCUUCUUGAUGUAAAGCUCUAUCAGCAGGGAAGAAAAUGACGGUACCUGACUAAGAAGCCCCGGCUAACUACGUGCCAGCAGCCGCGGUAAGACGUAGGGGGCAAGCGUUAUCCGGAUUUACUGGGUGUAAAGGGAGCGUAGACGGCGACGCAAGUCGGCAGUGAAAUGCCAGUGCUCAACACUGGAACUGCUUUGGAAACUGUGUAGCUGGAGUGCAGGAGAGGUAAGUGGAAUUCCUGGUGGAGCGGUGAAAUGCGUAGAUAUUAGGAGGAACACCAGUGGCGAAGGCGGCUUACUGGACUGUAACUGACGUUGAGGCUCGAAGGCGUGGGGAGCAAACAGGAUUAGAUACCCUAGUAGUC